AUGUCCUUGGAAACCCUCCAUAAGAGUAGAGGAGGCAAGUUCAAGAGAACUGAUAAGAAGGACGUGGCUGCAAUAUUUGGAGCACAUGUUCGAGUUAUUCAAAGAAUAUGGGAGACGGCAAUGAAACAGAAAGGCCUUGGUCAGGAGGUGGAUGUUUCAAACAAAAGAAAGGAAAAUUGUGGAAGAAAAUCUUAUGAUUAUAUCCUAUCUCUCAUUCCGACAAUUCCCUUAAACAAGAGGUCAACUAUUCGAUCUCUAGCCAAGGCACUAGGUGUAAGCCCUACUACACUAUACAAGAAGUUCAAGUUGAAUAAGAUAAGGAGACACUCCAACAGGGUAAAGCCGGUACUGACAGAGAAAAUAAGAGAGAUAGGGUGGAUUUUUGCCUCUCUACGCUAG
rnacentral:rRNA from 1 species